rnacentral:lncRNA from 1 species
UAAUCCAAAUCCAAAAAACGCAACGUUCAGGCAUGGACCAAGUUGAAUUAGCGCACAAACUCUGGAGGAAAAAUUAAAAAACAAAGAAAAUCUGAAGCAGGCCUAAUUGAAUGCCAACACGAAAGGGAAGGAUUAAUAGCGAAAAUAACCCUCAAAGACUCAGAACACGCGGAUCUGGUCGCAUCUGGGUCAGGUCAUCGGGUUUGUGCCUAUACGGCACCGUUUUGGAGCCACUGAGAAAGGCUCAAAACGGCACUGUUUUUGCCUCUUUAUAAAGGUUAAAAUCAAGCCAAAUUCGACCGCAUUAACCCUAGCCCCUUCUUUCUCAUUUGGAAAACCCUAAAUCUUUUGCUUCAAACACCGAUUUACCUCCAUAAACAGCAACCAGUGUAUUCAAGCUUGGAAGAAUGGUUUCUCAGCCUUGAGAUCCCCUUUCAAAUUCGAUUUCAAUGAAGCAAAAGGAAAUUCGUGGCAUACUCGCAAGGUAAGACCUCAUUUUUCGUUUUUUGGAUGCAAUAAUAAAAAGUGACAGGAAUAAGCCGAAAGAAAAUUCAAAAGUAUAAAGAAACUCGAAUUGGAAAUCACCUUUUCAAUUUUUUAUUGCUUUUUUCAAUAUGCGUGUGUGUUUCUGGGAAAGAAAUCCCCCUUUACAUCGUUUUCCUUCGGUUUUUAUAGCCGAAAAAUAAAUAAAAAUAAAUAAAAAUAGAUUUCCUUGCUGUAAUCUGUUAUCCUUUGCUGUCAAUUACUGUUUGUUAUUUUCUGUUAUUUUCUUCUCGCAGGUUCGAUUGUACGGAGGAGAACACUCGUGGGGAUGACGUGGAUGAGGCUCAGAAGCUCUGCGGAAGUUGCUGGUGUCUGUUGCAAGCCAAGAGUUGAUUCAAUUGCAGCAUUCGAUACCUAUUCUUUAUUUCUAUAUUGAUUUUCUUCCCCACUUGCCUUAGUAGCCUUUCCUCCCCUUCCCCAGCGCGGAUUUCACUUACUUGCCUUAGGGCAAUCGGAAUUCCGUGAGGAGCUAGGGUUUAGGUUUUGGGCCUUUUGGGCUUGGUUUAUUUUAUUCGGGUAUUGGGCCAUUGUUAGGUCUAUUUUGGGUGUAAUGGGGUUUUGUUGGGUCAUAUAACUUUGGGCUGGUUGUAAUUGGACUAUGGACACUUAUUAUUUUUAUUUUUGUUAUUUUGUUUUUUUUAAUUUUAUUUUUGGUAUGGGCUCGGGUGAAAUGGGCCUAUUAUAAUUGAAAUAUUUAGUUCCAUUAUUAGAAUGAAGAACGCUGGUUUUACAUUGAAAUUGGUCUUCAACCAUUUUAUAAAAUUCUUGAAACACAUUUUUUACUUUUGAUUUUUCAUGCAUCAAGUAGACCAAACAUAGACAAGUAUGAUCAUCAAUAAAAGUUAUAAACCAUUUUCUUCCAGACAUGAUGGUAACCCUGGAAGGUCCGCAUACAUCACUGUGAAUUAGGUAAAACAAUUUUGAUGCACGAUAUGGUU